UUUGCUUAAAAUAAAAGGUCCAGCCUGCCCAGUGACACUGUUCAACGGCCGCGGUAUCCUAACCGUGCGAAGGUAGCGUAAUCACUUGUUCUUUAAAUGAGGACUAGUAUGAAAGGCACCACGAGAGUCAUACUGUCUCCUCUUUCCAAUCAGUUAAACUAAUCUCCCCGUGAAGAAGCGAGGAUAACUAUAUAAGACGAGAAGACCCUAUGGAGCUUUAAACUAAUAACACUUGCUCACUUACUUCUUUAAAUUUCAGAAAAAUCUAUUACCUUGGCAUUAUACUUAUAAGUUUUUGAUUGGGGUGAUCACGGAACAAAAAAUAACCUCCGCAAUGAAAGACUCUCCAUAACUAAGUCAAGAAUCACAACUCUACACAUCAACAAAUUGACACCAAUUGACCCAAUUUAUUGAUCAAUGAAC
rnacentral:rRNA from 1 species